GAUGAACGCUGGCGGCGUGCCUAACACAUGCAAGUCGAGCGAUUUUCUUCGGAAGAGAGCGGCGGACGGGUGAGUAACGCGUGGGUAACCUGCCUCAUACACAUGGAUAACAUACCGAAAGGUAUGCUAAUACAAGAUGAUAUAAGAGAUUCGCAUGGAUUUCUUAUCAAAGCUUUUGCGGUAUGAGAUGGACCCGCGUCUGAUUAGCUAGUUGGUAAGGUAACGGCUUACCAAGGCGACGAUCAGUAGCCGACCGGAGAGGGUGAUCGGCCACAUUGGAACUGAGACACGGUCCAAACUCCUACGGGAGGCAGCAGUGGGGAAUAUUGCACAAUGGGCGAAAGCCUGAUGCAGCAACGCCGCGUGAGCGAUGAAGGCCUUCGGGUCGUAAAGCUCUGUCCUCAAGGAAGAUAAUGACGGUACUUGAGGAGGAAGCCCCGGCUAACUACGUGCCAGCCGCCACCGUAA
rnacentral:rRNA from 1 species